rnacentral:piRNA from 1 species
UGUCCUACAAUGAGAAACCAGAUAUCUGGUC